rnacentral:rRNA from 1 species
GUAGGUGGCAAGCGUUGUCCGGGAAUUAUUGGGGCGUAAAGCGCGCGCAGGCGGUUCUUUAAGUCUGAUGUGAAAGCCCACGGGCUCAACCGUGGAGGGUCAUUGGAAACUGGAGAACUUGAGUACAGAAGAGGAAAGCGGAAUUCCACGUGUAGCGGUGAAAUGCGCAGAGAUGUGGAGGAACACCAGUGGCGAAGGCGGCUUUCUGGCCUGUAACUGACGCUGAGGCGCGAAAGCGUGGGGAGCAAACAGGAUUAGAUACCCUGGUAGUCCACGCCGUAAACGAUGAGUGCUAAGUGUUAGGGGGUUUCCGCCCCUUAGUGCUGCAGCUAACGCAUUAAGCACUCCGCCUGGGGAGUACGGCCGCAAAGGCUG